GUACAUAUGAAAGAAUGAAGCAAUACAACUAUAGAAGAUUUAAGUUUAAUCAUUUGAUACCAAAAAUACAUAUAUAUACUCUACAUAUUUAGAUAGCUACAUUCAUGUGUAGUCACUAUUUUGUGUUAAAUGUGUACUACUUCCUUGGUAUGUGCUUUUUAGUAGGGCUCGAGUUAGUGGUGUUACACCUGUUUGCAAUGUCUACUAUAUUUGGUGUAUGGAAAGAUUUUUUAUCAAAUACUAUAUAUGCAAAAGGUCAACUUUAUUUGGUGUAUGAAAAUUGUUAGGGUGUACAUAUCAGUCAUGCAGGUUUUUUUUUACCUUGACCUCAUUGCUCAGUGCUAAGUUUUUUGUGCUUUUGGUCUCAUUCUUAUUUUAAGCUAGAAGCAAUAGGUCAACUACAUUUGUUGUAUGGAGGAAUGUUAAGGUUACAUCUCUGCCAGGCAUGGUUCAUCAGACCUUGACAUCAUUGUCAUGGGUUGAUUGGUAAAUAAUUGUUUUUUUGGUCAAGUCUUAUUCUUAAUAAAUAUAAGCAAUAGGUCAUCUAUGUUUAGUGUAUUGAAUGAUUGUAAAAGGUACAUUUAUUUCCUGCUUGACCUCAUUUUCUUGGAUCAAGUUGAAUUUAUGCGAUUCUGUCAAUUCUGAAAUUAUUGCGUGCUUUUCUAAUUGCGAUUUUGUUAUUUUAGACUUCAAUGCGAUGUUUUUUUUUACGAUUUGGAGAAAAAUCCUGGUUAAUUCAUAUAAAAUAUU
rnacentral:lncRNA from 1 species